rnacentral:rRNA from 1 species
GAUGAACGCUAGCGAUAGGCUUAACACAUGCAAGUCGAGGGGCAGCAUGGUCUUAGCUUGCUAAGGCUGAUGGCGACCGGCGCACGGGUGCGUAACGCGUAUGCAACUUGCCUCACAUAGGGGGAUAACCCGUCGAAAGACUGACUAAUACCGCGUACACUCUAUGUUGUGCAUCCAAUGUAGAGGAACUGAAAUUCGCUGUGAGAUAGGCAUGCGUCCCAUUAGCUAGUUGGUGAGGUAACGGCUCACCAAGGCGACGAUGGGUAGGGGAACUGAGAGGUUGAAACCCCAUACUGGAACUGGGACACGGACAAGACUACUACGGGAGGCAGCAGUGAGGAAUAUUGAGCAAUGGGCGAGAGCAUGAACCAGCCAAGUAGAGUGAAGGAUGACUGUCUUAUGGAUUGUAAACUUCUUUUAUACGGGAAUAACAAGAGUAACGUGUGGCUCAAUGACUGUACCGUAUGAAUAAGCCGCGGCUAACUCCGUG